AUUGAACGCUGGCGGCAGGCUUAACACAUGCAAGUCGAGCGGGGGAAGGUAGCUUGCUACUGGACCUAGCGUCGGACGGGUGAGUAAUGCUUAGGAAUCUGCCUAUUAGUGGGGGACAACAUCUCGAAAGGGAUGCUAAUACCGCAUACGUCCUACGGGAGAAAGCAGGGGAUCUUCGGACCUCGCGCUAAUAGAUGAGCCUAAGUCGGAUUAGCUAGUUGGUGGGGUAAAGGCCUACCAAGGCGACGAUUUGUAGCGGGUCUGAGAGGAUGAUCCACCACACUGGGACUGAGACACGGCCCAGACUCCUACGGGAGGCAGCAGUGGGGAAUAUUGGACAAUGGGGGGGAACCCUGAUCCAGCCAUGCCGCGUGUGUGAAGAAGGCCUUAUGGUUGUAAAGCACUUUAAGCGAGGAGGAGGCUACUCUAGUUAAUACCUAGGGAUAGUGGACGUUACUCGCAGAAUAAGCACCGGCUAACUCUGUGCCAGCCGCCGCUGUAA
rnacentral:rRNA from 1 species